GGUCCCGUAGUUCAGUUGAAUAGAACGUCAGAUUCCGGUUCUGAAGGUCGUGGGUUUGAACCCCACCGGGAUCAC
rnacentral:tRNA from 1 species